rnacentral:rRNA from 1 species
AAACCGCCCAGAGGUAAACGGGUGGAUCCGCAAAGUCGGCCCGAGGAAUUCAGCGCGGCGCGCGGCCCGGGGCAUCAGCGGUUCGGGAUCGCUCGUGAACCGACCGCGGUGCCGAGCCGGGCUCCGCCGCGUGCACUUUCCCUGGGCAGAGAGACACAACCGGUUCGGCGAGCGUUUGCGGCGACAGGCCCGGGAGGGUUGUAGGUGGGGGCGCUCGCGUCCCUACCAGCCCUUUUGUUUGUGGUUAGCCGCCGCCGGACCGAGGGACCGCCGUGCGCCUCGAGGCCGCCCUCCCCUCCGGGUGAGUACGACUGGGAGAGACUGGGCAACCGUGUCUCCCGACCGCUCACCCGCGAUCGGCGUGGGGCCGGCCGGGCGCAACUGUGAGGAGGGUUUGUGGCAAGUCUGUCGGCAUUCCACCCGACCCGUCUUGAAACACGGACCAAGGAGUCUAACAUGCGCGCGAGUCAUUGGGCGGUACGAAACCCAAAGGCGCAGUGAAAGCGAGGGUCGUUCUCCGAGCGGCCCAGGUGGGAUCCUCUCCCCCCCCCGUGCCUCUCGAAGAAGCGAGGGGGGAAUGGCGCACCACCGGCCCGUCCCGUCUGCGUCGUCAGUGGGGCGGAGCAAGAGCGCGCACGCUGGGACCCGAAAGAUGGUGAACUAUGCCUGAGUAGAACGAAGCCAGAGGAAACUCUGGUGGAGGUUCGUAGCGAUUCUGACGUGCAAAUCGAUCGUCAAACUUGGGUAUAGGGGCGAAAGACUAAUCGAACCAUCUAGUAGCUGGUUCCCUC